UAAAAUUUCAUAUUUUUAUAUUCCAUUAUAAGGAAAUGUCUGUCAUUUUUUGUGAUGAAUAUAAAUACCAUUUUCUUUAUAGAUGCCGUCUUAAUGAAGUUAUCCCACAAUUUAUUUAAUCAAAUCCGUGCUGUUUGCUAAAUUGUAAUUCUAGUUUUUCAUUAUGAAAUGGGAAAAUUAAGGAGCUUAAUCAGAGGGAGUAUGUGGUAGGGCAAACAGCAUAGGUAAGAGGAUUUGUGGGUUUUUUCUUCCCUAGUUUCAAAAAUUGUUUCAUAACAAAGAAAGUCGCAUUCUUUAAUUUCUGUAGACCUGAACAUUCUUUUCUUGUCAAUGAUAGGUGCUUGUUUUCAUUUAGCUGUUGAUGACUGAAGUUGAGGAAUUGGGAAGACAAUUAGUCCAAAGCAGGCUUGCUUAAAUCUGGCUCCAUUUCAGUACCGCUCCCUUCUAUCUCCUUUCCCCUCUGGAUUAAAUCACCAAGAAGUCUCGGUGCAUUUUGCAAUAAUCUUGAAGUCAUUUCUUUUUCAAAAUGCUGAAGAUUUUAAGAUACUGAAGUGCUUUAGAAAACAACCACUGUACAUUUUUAACAUGCUUCUCACUCAUAAGAAUUAUAAAAAUAAUUGCCCAUUAUCUGUGAAUAUAUGUUCUUAGCUCUCAGAGCAUAAAUUUCACUUCAUAAUUAUUUUCCAGAGAAGCAAGUAUCUAUUUGUUACUGAAUUUUCAGGAUAAAAACCUAGUGGCAAAUUUUACCAGAUAUAUGGACUGAUUCACACAGAAACAUAAAGAUUAUUUUUGUGUAAAAAGAACUUCUGGUAUUUUCUGAGCUUAGUGAUAUUUUAAUUUUUGCAUAUAAAGGGAAGGAGGAUGCAGCCCCUCUUUAGUGAAAUCUCCCAAUGCCCAAAGGGAGUUAAAUUUCCUUUCGUGGGUAGCCUAAACCUUAUAUAGGAUUCAAACUUUGUACUCAUUACGCUGCUCAUAUCAUUUCUUUUUAUGUCUACAAAGAUUCCACUUAAGGUUAGUGUAAUUAUGUGCAGCUCUACCAUGAGAGUCAUGACUGUGGAGAUGUGUACAAUGUGCAAUUGUCUGUUUCCCUCAAGAAAUAAUCAGAACCUUGGCUGAAAUAAUUAUUUGAGUUAUAAUCUUUUUUUUUUUUUUUUGCCUGCCCACCACUGAGAAGAGAACCUGGCUCUUGAGAGCUGUUCUUUAUUUUCUUUUGAACAAAUGAAAGAAGGAUUGUGUCAUAGUCAAGCCACAUUUCUGUUUCUUCAGACUGUAUAGAAGUAGUUGGUUUCCUCAAGUAAAGAAUUUGGAAAUCCAUUUCUCAAAUACCUUUGGCUAGAUGCGUAGGUGAUUAAACAGAUAUAUUGUGUCUUUUUAAUUAUUAAUGUGAAGCGAUAUUUUCUAAAGUGUGUUUUGUGGAAUAUUAGUAUUGCAAGAUAUACUUAAAGAACUUUGAGAAGCAUACCUUUGUUGGAAAUGAGCAUAUUAAAUUAACAUACUAAAAGUUCUGAGAAAUAAGUUUCUUUUUUGCUAUACAAUUUAAAAGUUUUCUAAAUAUGUGACUGCAUCUAUUUUUAAUCUAAUUAUCUCUAUCUGUUCAUCUAUCUAUCUUUUAUUUAUUUUUAAAAGUAAUCAACAUAGUAUAAUACUUGAAGUUUUGGCUUUGCUAAACUAGGCAGGCCUGGAUAGAGCUUCAUCUCUGAAAUUCACUUGUAUGGCCUUUAACAAAUAAUUAACCAUUAGCAAAUAAUUACUUUAGGCUUCAGUUUUAUCUCCUGUCAAUUUAUUUAAUGGCAAUAACUUUCUCAAAAGAUGAUUGUGGGCUUUACAUGAGCUAUUAUAUAGAAAGUUCAUACACAAUGCAUGGUACAUGCUAAAUAUUCACUCAUAGUUUGCUAUUAUUAGUUAUGUUUAUUCUUUAAUGUACACCUUAGAAGACGCCGAGCCUCAGGUAGGUGUAGGAAGUGUUGCUAUACUUUGUUCUUUUCUUAUAUUUGUAUCAUCCUCAUGUUAACUUGUGCAUGUUUUUAGUACUUUGUUUUUGAUGGAAAUAUUUUAAGAAAAAGAAGAUACAUUUAAAACAACAGCAAAGGUGAUGAAGGAUCUAGAAGUUCUAGAGUGUAUUUUCUUUGAAAAAUAGAAUUUAAUAAAGAAUUAUAAAGUGAAAAAUUUACUAGACUUCUGCAUAACUCCAGGAGGUGUAAUGAGUAUCUAUGGAUAAGACAUACACAGUGCUGUUAACAUAAGGAAUGAUUUGUUAGCAGUCGGAGGAAAUCAACUUGAAAAAAACAAUUUCUUAUCUAAGAAGACUGUCAAAGGUGUCAGAAAGGAGUUUGAAGACUUGUUAAAGCAAGGCAUCAUGCUAGUUGUUCUGGUGAAUGCAGAUUGAACUGAUAAGGAAGACAGAGACACUUCUCUACUUGUUAGUAGAGAAUAGAAAAGUUUAUGCCUGUCUCUGGGCCCCAGGGGGACACUUUAAAGAACUUAUGUGUGAUUCUUGAAAGAAAAAAAGAGUUAGAAAAUAAGAUGAGAUGGGGAUCUGAGGAAAGGAAUCAGGGUUUCUAACAUGAAUCCCUGAAUCAAGAUGCAAUCACAGAAUCAGCACUUUUUAGUUAAAACUAAUACCUAGCGACAUGCAUAUAUUGAUAAUUUGUUAUCUUCCUCUCUAUUCUUUACAUUGCAUUCCUGUUAUCUGCACUGACAUGGCAUUUUACUCCUACCCUAAUAGGUCAAUGAGAUUAGAAAUACUAAAUUUUUAAUUAAGCUCGUGUUCAUACAAUUUAUUACAGAUUGACAAUCAUACUGCAUCAUAUAAUUAGCCAGAAGAAAUGGUAUAUAUAAAGCAGAGAUGCUCUUUGCUGCAAGAAUUUUCAUGAUAUAUAUCUAGGAAUAAGUGGGAUCAUUAAAUUUUUUGUCAGUACAAAUGUCACUACAGAAAAUCUGAAAGUCAUUUUUAAAGGGUAUAUAAUCACUAUUUACCUUUUUGGGCCUGUCCUCAAGUUACUCAAGGUUCAAAGGCCUUAGGCCAUAAUACUUUUGCAAGAAAAUGUUUAUUUGGCCCAUUUAUAAGCGUCAGACUAUCCUCACUUAGCAAGUUCCCUCAGUUAUAUGACAACCAUACUGCUAUCUCAGUUUUCCCCUUAGCAGAGGAAAUAAUAGAGGGAUGUGGCUGUUAGUGCUUAUCCCAGUUAGAACUUGUUUGCUCUUCAAGGCAUAGAAUAUACAGUAAAGAUGUGUAUGUGCUCUAGGAAAAUAGUAGGAUAUUUUUUCAACAGAUGGUGUUAACCUCAUAUAGGGAAACCUAGAACAUGUUGUACAUUGCAGGCAACCCACUACACCACCAGCCCUUAAAGAAGAAAUUGAAAAUGCAUGUGCAGCAGUCUCAAUGACAAACACCAAUUCACUAUACUGAUACAUGUCUGGAAGCUAACGACCACCACUUUGAACACCUCUUGUAAUUAUAGAGGCCAAAGGAUUCACUGAUAAAGGUUAAAAGACAUUUUUCUAAGUGGGAAAAGAAUACAUGCAGUGAAGUGGUACAUCCCUUGGCUUCUGAUCUUCUCAAGCUGAUUCUGUAUGUAUUUCCCUGUGCUUAAUAUCUGCAAAAUAGCUGCAGGAAUAGUUAUCUGUUCAAUUGGGGAAAAGAAAUCCCAAAUUAGUGCCCUUGCUCUUUGGCAAAAAUAGUAAUUGUUCAAAAAUGUAAUGAUAAGCCAUUCAUGUUCUGUAGAGUUAAUAUUCCAAAUGCAAUACUAUACAACAUAUCACAAGAUUCCUGUAUACUCUAAUAUAUAAUAUAUAACAUCAUAAAGUAUAAGAUUAUAACAAUAUAACAUAUCAUAAGACAAUAAGCAUAAAAUAGCAUAAGAUUAUAAUGGAGCUGAAAAGUUUCUUGCCACUUAAUGACUCUCUAGCCAUCAUAAUAUAGUGCAAAACAUUACUCACACAUUUGUGGUGAUGCUGGUUUAAACAAACCUACCAAACUACCAGCUACAUAAAUGUGUAUGUAGCAUGUUUAAAUAUGUGCAUGCAGUACAUGAUAUUUGAUGAUAAUAACAUGUUCUUGGUUUAUAUAUUUACUAUACUACAGUUUUACUAUUUUCAAGUAUACUCUCAUUUAAAAGAAAAAGCAAAACUUGUCCACAAAGCACUAUGCCAUGUCGCACCAGCACAGCCUCCUACAUCUCGAAUUACCACAUCUCCUAAUGUCACGUCCAGCGGUGGGGCCAAAAGCACCCAGGUUUGUGCAAGUGCACUCUGGAAGUUCACAAGACGAUGUUGUUGUCUGCUGUUGCCUUUCUCAGAACUUAAUAUAGUCAUUAAACAACACAGACCUGUAACUCCCUGAAAAGCACUUUCAGUUCUCCCUGUCUAUGUCUUACCCCCUGCAGUUUGGUAGUGGCCCCCUAUUUGCCACCAUAGUCUCCUCUCUUUGCCAAAUCUUACCCUUAAGGAAAGGAACUAAGAGUAGGAUAAUCAUAUGAUUUAUCAAGAUUGAAGAAGGAGUUUUAAUAACUACUCUGGGACAGUAAGCAUAAAAUGGCAUUAUUUGUCCGGGAACUUAUUCCUGCUCUCCCUGAGAACAAUAAGAUGUGUGUGGUUGAUGACACAUUACAAAUUUAACCUCUGUAAGUGAUUUUCAUUAUAAUAUCUGAAAGCUCUAAAUGUAAAGAAUUACCCCCCCCCUUGGAGGUCGAACUUAGGGGUUAAACCUGGGCCUUAGAAGCCCCCACUAAUGUGUUUAAGUGAUAGAUUUUCAAGAAUCAAUUACUAGGUGAGAAAAUCACUAGAGUCAGAGAAUGCAAAUAAAAGCCCUAAAAUAAAGAUAGUUUAGUGAUUUAAUCUCCUUAAAUACAAGGGUGGCUUUGUCUACUAGUUUAGUGCUUAUCUUCACCCUUAAAUGUCUUCAAAAUUAGAAAUAUAAACUAUACUGUAAAUAAUGGAAUGCACAAGAUAAUUGUAUAGGUUGGGUUUUGGGGAGGGGAGAUGCCCAUAUGCACAAACAAAUGAGUCAUUUUUUAGUUCAAAUUAUUUAUUAAUUUAUUAUCUACAACCCCGCAAAAUAUCUUUAGUGACUGGAUUUUCCUUUUAAAAUGACAAAUGGUAUGUCUGGUGGUUUUCAUGCAUCCAGUGAAUACUUUUUGCUUUAUUGUCCUGUAUUUUCAUCCUGAGAUUUCUUCUUGUAUUUCUGCAUUUCGGAAGGAGAUGGCAGUAUUGAGCCUUGGCCCUCAUCUGAGGUAACUCUUUGAGAGUUUAAAAUCCUCAGUAGAAAAGUAUCAUUUUAACCAAAGUCAGCUCAUCUCCUGGGAUUUCACUUUCUACCCUUCUCCCUUUGGUAUUCCAAGUGAAGAAUGAGUGUGCUGCGAUAUUUGUUGUAUUAGAUUUGUGAUACUAUUGUAUUUGUUAGCCUCAUUUCUACACAUUUCUAAGAAUGCUGAUUUAAGAGGCAUACAGACAAAAACAAAAGAAAAACAAAACCAAGAAACCUUCUAAAAUAGGAGGGCCAGCUCUGAGAUGUAAAAGUAUGUUUACGAUGUGCUUGUUUUCCUAAGGCUUUGACAGGAAGAAUUAACUUUACAAUUCCAGCACAAAAACACUUUCCUAAGCCACAUCUUUUAGUAAGUAAACUGUUCUGUGGGAAUAAGUCUCCCCCUUUUUGUUUUAGCACAAUGGGCUGCUACUAAGAAAAUGACUUUUUCUAGGGCUGAUGCUUUGAAAAAAAAAAAAGUAAGGACGAUGAGAAAAUUCUUAACUUAGUUUUCAUUCACAUCUACUGUUCUGCUUGCAUUCCAGAUUUCCAAAGGGUGAUUCAUGUAUUCUUUAGCUGUAUGUUGAAAAAUAAAAUAAGUACCAAUGCUCUUUGUCAUUAUCAAAAGUAAUUAAACAGUGUGCUUUUAAGGCUAUAAACUGUGGGAAAAAUAGAAUACUGCCAUGUAAAGUUGUUGUUGUUGUUUUUUAAAGUGUAAGCCUAGAUUAACAAACUAACCUGCCUUGUAAAAGGAUCUGAAUCUACAGUUGGAAUGGCACCCAAUUCUUUGAGUUAUGUUUUGCAAAGUUGUCCUGCCAUGCUUAAAAUAUGUAAAAGAAAUAUUUUAACAUGUGAGAUUAUCUUUAAAAUCUGGACAACUAAAUCACAUAGAAAAAGAUGGGUAAUUGUUCAGUUUGAUUAUCAGAGAUAGUGGGAUUUUCUUUCAUACUUUCACUUUUGUAUGUUUAAAAUUAUUGUUGAAAUGUUAUAUGACAAAUAAUUUAUGGUUAUAACUAAGCUAGCAAGCCUAUUUGGUUUCCAUUAUAAGUGAAGGACCCAACAACAACAUCUUCAUUUCAUAUUGUUCUGAUAAAUUUAAUGACAUUAUUUUUUUUUUAACCAAAAGGAAAUUUCUUCUCAGCUGGAUUCUUUCAUUGUAGGUUUUAAUCGCAAACUUUGAAAAUGAGAACAUAGCUAUUAUUUUUUAUUAAAAGGAUAUGUUCUGGUUAGUUUGGAAAGGUCUGACUAGUAAGGGCUUCCAAUAGCAUGUCCAAGAAUUUAAAAUGUAAUCCUGAAAUUAGAGAAAGUAACAUAUGCUUUUUGGUACCAGUGUAUCUAAAGUGUUGUAAGAUGCAUACAAGGCAAAUGUCCAGGCAUUGUAGGAGACUUAUUAAUUUCACAAAUUCUAAGUAAAAGUAGGCUGAUUAAUAUCAGCUGCACUGGAUAGCACAUAGGUGUGGACAUUCAGUACUGAGCUUAUCCUGAGACAGGUAGAAUAAACAGGUGUGUUUUGUACCAUGAAAACCAAAGCAUGAUGUUUUACAUGUAACAUGUACUUCCUUCCUUAAUUUUUGCUUAUUAAGUUUGUGACUACCCUUGCUCAGUAUUUAGAUUUUUAAAAUAAAGCUUCUCCUUUAAAAAACUGUUUGGAUUUGCUGUUUUCUUUCUUUCUCUUUUUUUUUUUUUUUUUGGUACCUGGAAUUGAACUCAGGACCCUAUGUUUGCCAUACAACUGCUGCCACUGAGUCGUAUCCCUUUGAAUUUCUUUCAUGUCUUUGUCUGAACAAGUUCUGUUACAUAAAUCUUCUUAUUCAUUUUUAUGAAUGUUAUUUUAUAAUAGGUAUCAUUUAUAUUUGAAUUUUUAAUGUUUUUUUAAAUAGAAGAAAUAUUUGGAACCUUUUAAAUACCUUAACUGAAGAGCUAAAUAAAACAAGUGUAGUAUCUGAAGCAUUCAUUGGUUUUUAGCUCAAUUAAAAUGCUUCAGACUUCUCUAGAUGAAAUCUUAUACUAGUGUAGACUGAAGCAAUUCAUUUAACCUGAUGUUUCAGUCAUGCUUUAGUUAAAUCACUAGUAUUUUAUUUAUCUUUUAAAUAUCUUUGAGGCUGAAUGCUGUUAUCAGCAGAAUCUCCAUAACUUUUUUCUCCAUACCUUGAGUAGGCAUAUAGUAAAAUCAAAUACAUUUUCCUAACCAUAGGUGGAUUUCUAAGAGGAGGAGCAGCCACUGUUAGGAACAUGCACUUGUUAGUGUUCCUACAUAAAGUAAGUAAACCCUGGGGAGAGAGCCAUUCAGGAUUAUGCAAUAAAACCAUUUUUUCUCUUUCUUACCAUUUUUUUCUUGUGUCUUUCACACAGGGACAGGCCUCAUGUACUUUCACUGUCAAUGUGUGAUUGUUACAGAAAAUACAUUCUGCUUGCUGUGUAUUCAUUAAAGUGUUCAUUAGGCUCUUCUACAAAUGAGUGGUGAAGAGGAGAAUGGACAAGGGCCUGGUCCUGUUUUCAAUACUCUGUAGCAUCAAUUCUUGGCAAACUUCAGUGGGACCUUGGCAGGACUGCCCUCAGAGACCUGGGCUUCAUUAUGAUGUAAUAUGAUCCCCAUCUGUGUAGUAAAAGGUGAAUUAUCACCACGAGGUCCUCAUUCCAGCCUGAGUUUCAUAAGAAGAAAAGUAGCUUCUACAGGAUGAACAUAACCUGAAAUACUUACAUUACUUCCUUUCAUAGCCCACUGGCUGGGGCUGUGUGAUAUGAUUAUGCCUGGCUGCAAAAGACUCUGGUGUCUUCAUUGUAUAUUUAAUAUGAUUUGUCUGUAGAUGCUAUGUUUUUGCAUUUGAGAAAUCAGAGAAUAUGAGGAUACUUUCAUGCUGGAAAGGUCUGUGGAUUUCCUAUUUCAAAUGAAUAUGCUGGAUACACCAGGACUGAUACUCACCUGUUCUCUGUAAGCCAAUUAGACCUCAGAUUAUGUCGAGAAGAUUUAGUCAACCAUAUGACAGUUUUGCAAUGUAAAAAAGAAGCUACAAAGGGCCAAAGAUAUGCGUAAUUUCUCCCAUUAUUUUCCAUUUUGAGUUGUCUCAGAAAUCAAGACCGAAUCCAGGUGGCUUCUGGGCAGUUAAUGAGAAUUAGAGGUAAAACUAACUUCAAGUAGUUCAUUUAACUACAUGGCAUUACUCACUUUCCCAAGCAAGUAAAGAUACAAAUUUAUUUCAGAAUUCCGAAAUUGCAUUUAUAUAUAUCUUGGUUUUGUAUUUCAUUCUCGUGAUUAACAUCAAAUUUCACUGGACCAAGAAACUAAGGCAGUGCUGUACAAAUACGGCUUUUUGUAUUUGGGUUUCUUCCCUUGUUCUUUUCUGUCCCUAUUUCCUGCCUCUCCACAGUCUUUGUUUCCCUUCCUCUUUCCCUUCCUUCAUUCUUUCUCCCUCCCUUCCUUUUACUCUUCCUCUUUUCUGAAACCUUUCCAUUCUUUUUCUUGUUUUCCUAGGGAUUUAUUGCUUCAUUAAAGCAAGGUUCAUUGUUAUGUCAUCAUGUUCCUUCCAGAAAGCAAUAUAAAAGCAUUCAUCAUUGUCUUUAUUGUCUUAGUCUGAAGUCCUUUAUAAGCUCUCACAUUCACAGGAUAUAUUGCCAUACAAUCUACAGUGUUCUAAAUUUCAUGAGGUUCAACUAAUUGAAACUUCUUGGGUUAUAGGGAAGGGAACAGUGACCCAAACUCUGCUUUUGUAUAGUGGGACAAAUACAAGAAAAAAAUGAACGCAAGAUUUCUAACCUUAUUUUCAAUCACAGAUAUGAAUACAUUUGGCGGGGGGAGGAGGGGUUUUACCAAGAAUAGAACUCAUGACCUUGUGCUUGCCAGGCAGGCACUGUGCUGCUGAGCUAUAUCUCCAACCCAUGAAUACAUUUAGUGCAGUGACAUAUUAAAAGAGAAUAAAGGAAGUGCAUAUUGUAAUGAAAUUGCUGUUAUGGUAAAAAAUUAGAAUGUAGAGGAGCGAAUGGGUGCAAAUCAGAGAACAAAAACUUGAAAACAGGAAAGAUACAAAAGCUAAAGAGAAUACAUUUACCCAUUUUAGAUGUUAUUUUUUCUACUAUUUUUGUGAAUUUCCAGACUGAAAAUUCAAAACACAGAGGAACACACACACACACACACACACACACACACACCCCAGAUAGGGUUCACAUCCUUUAGUUCCCAACAUAUAGAAGAUUUUUUUUCUGAAUUGGAGCUUACUACUAUGGUAGCAAGAUCUCAUUGUACUUUUUCCUUUGUAAAAUGAAUCUGCAGUUUUUCUUUCAAAUGAAAAACAUUUCAGAGCUAACCCUUUUAACUAUUUUAAAUAGCAAAACAGUUUAUUCUUUUUAUUCUGCUCAUUUUUCCUGCUUAAGUGGAAAUAAUGAGUCAACCAUAAAAUGGAUGUUAUUUAAUGAAAUUAGCAAAACUUCCUUUUCAAGUUUCUUGACAUAGUUUCUGGUUCAGUAAUAAUGGUUAAUAGUGACUUAAUGAUUUGUUUGUUUGUACUCCAUCCUGACACCAAGGUUUCUAUCAUAAAUGUUUGCUUUGGAAGAAUAAAAAAGGAAUUAUGUACUAAUGAGCAGUGAGUCCGUUCACGAGGGUAAGGCAGCCACCUUUGUGCACUGCAUGUGAUGGAGCUUGAUACUUACAAAUUCCUUCUACAGCCAUCCACAUUUGCCAUUUUUCAAAAUAUCUUACAUUUACAUUUUCCUACAUAACAUCACAAUAAUACAAUAUUAGAAAGAACAUUAAUAUUCCAAUUUUACAUAUGGGAAAAUUAUGAACAAAAGUAUUUAGAGCCUUGCCUAUGAUAGAACAGGCCUUUUCUAACAGAUUGGCCCAGUAAUUUUUAUUUUGGAGACUAUUGGGAAUGACAGUGGAUACUGUCAUUGUGACAGCGGGCAUAAACUAGAACUUCCCAGGGAAACAGACCAGUUAUCACUGUUAUCCAUACCUAUAAGUAAUUCUCACUUAUUUCCACUUCCCUGUGACUCUCAUAUGUCCACAGUGCUCCUGUCAAAUGUGUAAUAUAUAUAUAAUUGUAUAUAUUUUAUAUAUAUGACUGGCAUUGUAACAUUUAUAUUUUUAUUUAUUGUUAUUAUUAUUAUUUUGUAUGAGAAUUGAAUUCAGGACCUUGCACUUCCCAGGUAGGUGCUGUGCUGCUGAGCUAAAUCCUUGGGCCACAUUUAUAUUUUUAGGUAUGAGUUUUUAAGUAAGUUACUUAGCCUUGCAGUGGUCAUUUCUCUGUAAAUCAGGAAUGAUGUCAGUACUAAAUUGUAGGGCAGUUAUAUGGAUAGAAUAAGUGAAAUGUUUGGAACAGUUCUUAGUCCUUACUAAAUAUUGUAUGUACUCAGUUAAUAAAAUAUGAGUAUUGGCUAUUAUAAAUGCUUUUUUAAUAUAGGCAAAUUAAAUCAACAUUCUUUUCACUAUGAAAGUGCUUUUCUGAAUUGAUUUGAAAUAUUAUCUACACUUUGGUAUUUUAUGAAUAUCUAUACUUGGAAUUACUUGUGCCUAUGCCAAUGUUAUUGGGUGACCCAAUCUCAAUAAUAACUUAAUGAUUUAUCUGUAAACAAUACGUAGCUUUAUUUGCAUUUGCAUGAAAAGACAGCAUUAUUGACUUAUUUCUCAUUUGGGAACAUCUUAACUGUGUGAUAAUAUGAUAAACUUCAUUUACCAUAGAAAAUUUACCAUUUUCUACAUACUAUAAAAUGAUCCCUGAAAGUAUAGUCUUAUCAUUUUCUAAAAUCUCCUCGUAGGAUCAUACUUACUUAUUCAGCUCUAGUCUGUUGAUGGACCUUUAUGUCUUUCUUUAAAAUAAGAAACCUCUCAGGAAAAAAAAAAAAGAAAAAGAAAAGAAAAGAGAGAGCGAGCGAGAGAAAGAUAAGCAAUUUCUGAUGCUUGACAUGUCUUGGUUUCUUCAUUUUAAUAAUUCAGGAUGCCCAAUUUCUUCUUUUGGGCCAGAUAAACUUUGUUUGUCCUGAUACUGGGUCUCCUUUUUUUAAGAUUGAAAAUGAAAUAAAAAAGCUCAGUCUAAGAUGGAAAGAAGGGUAUAGGAAGAUAUUUCUCCUGCAGUUAGACUGGUUUGAUAGCUUGUCCCUUAGAAUCAAUGGCCCACACUUUUAUCCCUAUUUGGGGACCUUAAACUACUAUUUUGUAUUCAAGAAGAGACCUCAUUGUCAUCUAGCCUUUUUUUUUUGCUUAGUCAGAUCACAUGUGACUGAAGGUAUUGAUGAUGUGAUGUCAGCCCUGUGACAUCAUUAUCUAAGGCCCUGUGAUGUUCAUUAUCUGUUCUGUAUGGUGUGUGAGUGACACUAGAUGCCAUGUCACCUGGAAUGUCUUAGCAGCAUGAGUGUUGUCAAGCCCAAGAACCACUUCCAUCCUUGUCUAGGGGAGUGAAAAUCUUCUCUCCUUUCAUGCAAAAUAUGUGGAUGAUUCCAAAUCCAACUCUUUCUUGUGUUCCAGAAUUGAAUUGCUUGAAUCUAGUGUCAGUAUCCUUGGCAUUGCUAUUUACCUUCCCUGGCCUUCAGAUUACAGGUCUUGUUUAAAUAGAAGAGUUAAAUUCCACCUGUGUUACUUCCUCAGUUUCACCUAAUUUUACCUCUGGAAUCUAUCUGAUAUUCUUAUGUUAUAUUUUCCAGCACAAAUAUUUAAAAAUGUAAGUGCCCCAAUAAUGAAACAAAGGAAAAUACAUUGAAUGGGUGUCUUUGGAAAUGCUUAUAAGUAAAAUAGUUAUGACUCUCACUUACAUACAGACAUCUUAUUAUCUAUCUGUCUCUGUGUGUCUUUCUUGAGUUAACUCGUAAGGAGGGAGAGGGAGGGAAGGAGGGAAAAAAGGUGGGAGGAAGGGAAGGAAACAGAAAGAACACGUAUAUGUUGAGAAUUUAAUGUGUAUUUUUAGGAACUGUGUUAAUGGGCAAGUGACUUCAUGAUUUAAUCAUCUUAGUUACCUUCUCAAAGACCUUCCAAGACCUCUUAAAACUAUUGAAUUAGGUAUUGAAAAUUAAUAUAUGAAUUUUUGGGAAAAAUUCAGAUUGUAGCAUUCCCAAAGCAAAUGUUAACUUAUGAUGAAAGUACUUUCCAACUACAGAAUGACUUUCUUUAAAAUCUUAAAUAUCCAGAUAUAUUUUCAAUAAAAUAACUUACAUGUUAUUAUUCUGGUUCCAUAGCAGAGUCAAACUACUUCAGGACCCUCCUCAGUGUCCUUUAUUGAAGUGGAGGAAAGUUUGUCCCUGGGUAUUGAUCUGUUACCUUAUAUGAUGGUUUACACUGACUGUAAUGGAUCGGUAUACAAUAUGUAGAAAGUCAGGGAUGAUCCUUUCCUCCACAUUUGCCCUUUCUUUCCCCUGAGCAGUAUGUCAAGCUUUUAAAUUUGCAGGAGUAGCGAUUUGGAGUUAUGGUCGUUCUGUCUUGCUUUGUAAAAGAUAUAGGUGGGUGAUAAAUACCUUGACAGCAUUCUGGUAAGCAGCAAGCUCUUGGCAGGUGUUUUAUGACUGAGUGAGUAACAAGAUGGCAGCUACUUCUCCAGUGUACUUACACUUCUUCACAUCAUCUGUCCAGAUGUUCAGUGGAUAGUAACAAAUGUAUAUCCUUCAAAUAAUAAUUCAUUGCUGCUUUAGUAAAUUAAAUUUAAUCACCAACAUAUAAAUCAUAAUUUGCUCCCCAUAUCAAUAUCUGAUAACUAAUUAGAGUUUGAUUUGAGGUCAGAUAUUGGAUAGGGUAUUUUAGAAAUGAGUCUUUCCACUGUGAAGUUUGGGAUUAGGGGAUAGCUAGGUUACCAUGAAGAUCCCAGUUGGAUAUCUAGAGCAUGAGGACAGAACAUUUGAGAUUUAAAGAGAGAAAGAAGAGCAUAGAAAAAAAGAGCCUGAUUUUUGGAAAGAUUUAAAUACCAGCUUUGUGUCCUGUGAGCUCUGUGAUGUUGGGCAAAUGACUCAAUUCCAAGCCUUAAUUCAUUUUUUAAUGUAGAAAAACGAUACUUGCUUGUCGAAAAAGUUAAAUAAAGGCACAUUUAGGCAGAGCUUCAAGCAGAGCAGUUGCUCCUUGAUGACUAUUUUUAUUCUGAAACCAAAACCAGACCAUACUUUGAACAUUGCUUAAAUCCCUGAUAGAAGCUCCUGUGGUAUUUAGAAUCCAUAGUAGGUUAAGAGAUCAGGACUCUUAAGUUUGGAAGACUCUAGGAAUUUGUUUGGAAGCCAGGAAUCAGAAACCUCAGCUGUACAUAAUUUAAUGAAUCCCUCUAAAUCUCUUAUCCCUUGGGGAGAGGAAGAGAUAUGCACAUCUUUUCUCUGAUUUUUCCUUUUCUUUUUACUAACUCUGAGGGUGGGAUAAAAUAUUUAUUACUUGCAAAGUGUUCUUUUGUAUAAAAUCUGAAAAGUAGAUUCCUACCAACAUGGAUACUCAGUUUUACCUGGAAGAGCCUUUAGUUUUCUCUGGUCACUAUGCGUAAAUAUUGCUGGAAUUGAUAAAUUAGAAAUUUAUUUUUUAUUGGACAGUAUUGUCUGAAUUGGACUUUACUUCCUGAGAGUACCCGAUAACACUUCAGGAAGAUAAUUAAGAUGAGUAAAAUGGUGGCACCCAGUUCUAAAUGUUUUAUUUGAUCAUCUUUCAAUUUUCAGGGUGGACAUAUUAUCACCCUUCUUAGUAUUUCCCCAGCCUUUCCAGGACUGACAGCACCACAGCUUGGAGAAGUAAAGGAGCAGGACACACCAGGGAACUGGAAACUGUGCACUAAACACUUUUUUUUAAACAAACAAUAUUUUCAGUCCUAACUUUAAUUCACACAUACAGUAAUGUCACAUGUUUUGCAAUAUUGAAACACAACCAUGCUCUGUGUAAUGAUCUGGUCAACAAUAGAUGCAUACAUUCCAGUGGUUCCAUAAGAUGACAUUAAAACAAAUAUUUUUAUAAUCCUGGGACAUUGUAGUUCUUGCUACAUCACCUAUUUGUGGCAAUGCUGUUUGUAAAGAAAUUUGUCAUGCUGCCGGUUUUAGAAAAGCUUGGGACAUGCACUUAUGUAUAGUGUGUAAUGCUUAAUAAUAAUAAACAUUUAUGUUAUAAUGCAUACUACGCUAUACUUUUAUCAUGUUAGAGUAUAUUCUUUCUACUUACUAAAUAAUUAUCACUAUAAAACAGUCUCAAGCAGGUCUUUUAGAGAGUGUUCCAGAGCCUUGUUCUGGAGGCCUUGUUACCCAGGAGAUGGGAGCUUCAGGUGUGUCAUUGCCCCUGAAGACCUUCAGGUGGAGCCAUGUGUGGAGGCGGUUUCAGUGAUAUUGAUUUUGACCUGGGUGGGCCAGGGCUAAUGUGUGUGGGUCUUAAAUUUUAAUAAAAAAGUUUAAAGAGUAGAAAAUAAUAUAAAAAUUGAAAAAACAGAAGAAAAGUGGUGCUGGAGAUGUAGCUCAGUGAUAAAACAUGUACUUUGAAUCCAUUGAGGCUCUGGGUUUAACCCUAGUAUUGCAAAAAAUGAAACAAACCAAUGAACUUAUGAAAUGAAGAUGCAAAGGAAUAGUUCUCUACAGCUCCAUAAUGUGUUUUAAGCUGAAUGAUAUUACAAAACAUUCCAUGCAUUUAAGAAGUUAAUAAUAUUAUAAAUUCAAGGUCCAGAAAACUAAUGGCAAUUUAUUAUUGACAAAAAGCCUUAUACAUUUAGCUUAAAUGCAGUGUUUAUAAGUCUCAGCGGUGUACAGUUAUGUCCCAGGCCUUCGCAUUCACUCCCCGUUUACUCACUGCUUUAUCAGGUGCAAAUUUCAGUCCUGCAAGCUCCAUUUAUGGUAAGAAGUUUGUACAGGUGUGCCAGUUUUUAAUCUUUUAUGCCAUAUUUUACUGCAUUUUUCUAAGUUUAGAUAUGUUUAGAAAUACAAAUAUUUUCUGCUGUGUUACAGCGGCCUAUAAUAAUCUGAGCAAUCAUAUGCCGCACAGAUAUGCAGCAUAGUAGCAACAGGCUGUUACACAGCAUCUAGGUGUGUAGUGUACUACAGCAUCUAGCGUUUUGUAAGUGAGCUCUCUGAUGUUUACACACAAUGAAAUUGUCUACUGAUUCACUUCUCAGAACAUAUAUUUAUUAUUAUAUAUUAAGCAACAUAUGGCUGUUUAAAUAUUAUUUUAAAAUUGGUAAAUUUCUUUUAUAUCUGAUCCAUUGUAUUCCUUGUGAAGUUGAUACUUUCACCACCCUCAUUUUGCAGAUAAACUGAAAAAAAAGGGGAGUUCAUGCAGUGUACAAUAAAUAAAAGUAAAACUGGUAGCAAAAAUAAUAAAGAGUAAGAUAAAAUAACCCACAAUUUAUUUCAUUUCAGACAACUCACAACUAACAUGUUACAAUUUUGCCACAUUUUCUAUUGUGAUAUAUAUGUAUAUAUAUAUAUAUGUGUGUGUAUAUGAAUGCUACUGUGUGUUUAUAAUACAUGUAUAUGCAUAUAUAUUUGUAUACAUGUAUUUCUUUUUUAUUCUAAAGAGGAAAAACAAAAGAAAAACAAAAAAGAGACAAACAAACAACUAUCAGAACAACAUAAAAACCCAAAGCAAUAAUAAUACAGGCUUUUAAAACAAUGUGAUAGGAUUGUAACAAUGGUUGUUAUAUUGCAUAUUGUUAGUGUCAAGAAUUGCUAGAUUAUCAGAUAUAGACAUAUUAAAAUGAUCAUAUUGUGUAAGUAUUGACUGUUCUUUUCUAAGAACUAGUAGAAUUAGUAGUAUAAUCAUCUUCUUAGAUUUCUUAUGUAUAAAUAUAUAUACAAAUUUUCUCUUCUUUUUUUUCUCCUUUCUUCUAUCCCAGUUAUUUUUCUUCUGUGAGCAGUGUUUUAUACUUUCACAAUAUCUAUUGUAGAUUUAGGAUCUUAUUUACUUGUUUAGUUUCUUAUACUAGGGAAACAAUAUUUGCACAUGUGAGUGUGAUUUAUUUCACUUUGAGUAUGUUCUCAAGUCACAUCCACUUACUUACAAAAACCUCCAUUUGAUCUUUCUUUAUAGCUGACUAGUAUGCCAUUGUAUAAAAAUACCACCUCUUUUUUAUGCAUUCCUUGGUUGAUUGGCAUUUGGAUUGUUUCCAAGAUUUGGCUAUUACAAAUUGUGCUGCUAUAAAGAUAAAUGCAUAUGUAUCACUGUGGUAUGUUUUCAGUUCUUCUGGGAAAAUACACAGAAGCAGGAUAGCUGGGUCAAAGUGGUAUAUAAUCCUAGCUUUCUGAGGAAACUCCACACUGAUUUCCACCAGUCUAUACUCCCACCAACAGUGGAGGACAGUUCCUUUUUUACCAGAGCCCCUUCAGCAUUUGUUAUUGAUUGAUUUCUUGAUAUUGGUCAUUCUUUCUGGAGUGAGAAGGAAUCUCAGCAUUGUUUUAAUUUGUAUUUCUUAAAUGACCAUUGAUAUUGAACGUUUUUCCAUAUAUUUAUUUUCCAUUUGUAUUUUUUCAUGUGAGAAGUGUGCAUUCACCUCAGGUGCCCAUUUUUGGGUUGGGUGUUUGAAUUUUGGGGGUCUGAUUUUUGUUUUAAUUCUUUGUAUUUUGUAGAUAAAAGUCUUUUGUCUGAGGGACAGUUGGCUAAGAUUUUUUUUUCCCAAUUUGUGGGUUUUCUUUUCACAAUGUUGAAGAUUUCUUUUGACAUACAAAUCUUUUUAAUAGAACAAGAUUUUUGAUUUUGGGAAGUAUUUCCUAUGCAGUUUGCUUUUUGUUUAUGAACUCUCUGCCUACCCUAUGUCAUCAAGAUGGCUACCUACUUUGUCUUCCAAAAGACUUAAUGUUUCUAUUUUAAUAUUUAGUUCUUUGAUCCAUUUUGACUUUAGUUUAGUGCAUGGUGAUAGACAUGGGUCUAGUUUUAGUAAUGAAAAGCCAGCUUUUCCAGCACCAUUUAUUAAAUAGGCUGUCUUUCUGCCAGUGAACAUAUUUGUCUCCUUUGUUGAAAAUAAAGUGACUGUGUUUUUACUUGUGGCUGUAUGUUGCAAUCUGUUCUAUUGAUCUUCAGGUCUGUUUUUAUCCAGUACUGUGCUGAUUUUAUUACAGUAGCUUUGUAGUAUAAUUUCAAGUCAGGAAUUGAGAUGCCUCCUGCCUUGCUGUUGUAGCCCAGAAUUGCCUGUGCUAUUCUAGAUCUCUUCUGGUUCCAUAUGAAUUUCAGGAAUGAUUUCUCUAGAUCUGUGAGGUAUGCUAAUGGUAUUUUGAUCGGAACUACAUUAAAUCUGUUUAAGAAUUUUGGAGAAAUGGCCAUUUUUAUAAUGUGUAUUCUUCCUGUCCAUGAGCAAGGAAUGCCUUUCUAUUUUCUGAAAUCGUGUUCAAUUUCUUUUCUCAAAGUGCUAUGAUUUCCAAUGUAUAGAUCUUUUACUUCCUUUGUUAGACUGAUUCCUAAAAUUUUAUUUUUGGAGAUGCUAUUUUGAAGGGUGUGGUAUUUCUUAUUUCUCUCUCAGUGAAUUUGUUGUUUGUGUUCAGGAAUGCAAUUGAUUUUUGAGUGUUGACUUUGUAUCCAGCUACAUUAUUGAAUUUGGUUAUUUCAGUGGAGUUUGGGGCAUCUUCUAUGUAGAAUAUGAUAUCAUUUGCAAAUAAUGAUAAUUUAACUUCUUUUCCUAACUUUAUUCCUUUUAUUUCUCUCUCUUAUUGCUCUGGCUAAUAUAUCUAGAACUGUGAUGAACAGUAGUGAUGGAUAAUGGACAUCCUUGUCUUAUUCUUGAUUUUACGUUGAAAGCUUUCAGUUUUUGUCCAUUUAGUAAGUUGGUUUAUCAUAUAUGGCUUAUAUCAGAUUGAGGUAAAGACCAUAUAUUCCAGUUUUCUAUAGGACUUUUAUCAUAAAUGAGUGUUGGACUUUAUCAAAGCUUUUUCUGUAUCUAUUGAGAUGGCCAUGUGAUUCUUGAUUUUGGCUAGAUUGAUAUGGUAUAUUAUGUUUAUUGACUUAUAUAUGUCAUUGAACCAUUCUUGCAUUCCUGGAAUGAAUCCCACUUGAUUGUGGUAUAUAAUCUUCUAAAUGAUUUGCUACAUUCUAUUUGCCAGUAUUUUAUUGAGGAUUUUUGCAUCUGUGUACAUUAGGGAGACUGGCCUGUAAUUCUUUUUUGGUUGGGUCUUUCUCUGGUUUUGGUAUUAGGGAAUACUUGCUUCUAGGAAUGAGUUAGGGAUAAUUGCCUCUCUUUCAAUGUAUAAAUGUAAUUCAAUGCAAAUCACAUAUAUAGUUUUGCAUUCUGCCUUUUAAAUUUACUAUUAUGCUGUGAGGCUGCUUAAAAUCUUUUUGUUUUAAUUUUAUUUAAAGAAAAAAAAACAGUAAAAGGGUACAAGUAAUACAGAAUUUAAAAAAAAUAAACAGUAACAAAUCAUGAGUUAAUAGAUUACAUAUUGUCAUCUUGGAAAUAGUUGUUCAAGUUACAAAAUUAAAGCAAACAAAGUGGACAUUCAAACAGUGAGACUGCAAGCAGUUGUGUUCAGUGGUCCAACAAAAACUUUGUAAUAUGGUCAUCUAUUUUACACACCUAAACAUACUUGCAGUUGUAUCCUUUAGAGCACUUUUCCUCUCUUUUUUAUAAUAACAGUUACACAUUUUGGGUUUUAUUACUCCCACAGUUCUCAUUACUUUUUUUUUUUUUGGAAGAGAAUAAAACCCAAUGUGACAAAACAAAGCAGUCGGUCAAAACAAAGGAUGAACAUAGUACAUGAUGUAGAAACAGAAUAAAAGGUACUCAACAAUGGUUACUAUAAUGCCUCUUGCUACUUUAAAAAGAAUUGCCUAUAUCAUCAGGUAUAAUAAAAUUGAGCAAAACCAAUAAAACCUAAACAUUGAAGACAUUACAGGACUUCAAAAGAAGAUAAUGGUCAAACCAGAAUGGGCAUCAUAGUGAAUCUUAUUGCCUUCAAAGUAGUUACCUAUACUCUCAAACUUGAUACUAUUUAACAGAACAGAAUAGAGUAAAAUCAGUCAAAACAAGAUGGUGAGAGCAAUACAGGGCUUCAAAUCAAGUUAAUAGGAAAUCAAAAAAGUUACUAUAAUAUAUCCUGCUAAUUUAAAAAAAAUUUUCCCUUAAUUAAAAAAAUAAUAAAAAAAUAAAUUUUAAAAAAGAGGGAGAUUGAGAUAAAAGAGGACAUAACAACAUAACAAUACAGGUCAGAACAGAACAAUUUAAGCAAUACAGUAUUUCACCACAAGAUAACCUGACUUAAAUAGUAGUUACCAUAGUGUCUCUUUCCUUGAAUUAUUUGAGUAUAACUUCGUAUACUAUAGCAUCAAACAUAUCAAGACAGUCUGAAACAUUCAAGAGGAUGAAAGUAUUACAGGGUAUUUAGAACCAGCUAACAGAAAACGAACAGUGAUUUCUAUAUUAUGUCUUUGUCUAUAAAAAUUUUUGUUUAUACUAUCACAUAUAAUAAAAUCCAAUAAGAUACAACAUGAUAAAACCAAUGGAGACAGAAGAACAACAGUUUGUUGGGGCUUCAAAACAAGAUGAUAUUAAAUAAGCACUAGCUAUUGUGAUGUCUUGUUUUCUUCAAAAUAGCUGUUCAUGUCAUCACAGACAAUAAUAUGAAACAGCCCAGAAUAAAACCAUUCAAAUUAAUGAGUGAAAACUUUAUAAGGCUUCAAAGCCACAUAAUAGGAAAUCAUGAUUACCACAUACUUUUAUGUAUUUGUAUCAUUUCUUACACUAGGGAAACUAUUUGGUAUUCAUACAUGUGAGUUUGAUUUAUUUCACUUAUGAGUAUGGUCUCAAGCUACGCCCAUUUAUUUAUAAAUAUUUCAAUGUGAUCAUUCUUUAUAGCUGAGUAGUACUCCAUUGUAUAAAAAUACCACAACUUUUUUAUCCAUUCUUCAGUUGAUGGACACUUAGGUUGUUUCCAAGAUCUGGCUAUUACAAAUUGUGCUGCUAUAAACAUGGGUGCACAUAUAUCACUGUGGUAUGAUGCUUUCAGUUCUUCUGGGAAUAUGCGUAGAAGUGGAAUAGCUGGAACAAAUGAGAUUUCCAAUCCCAGCUUUUUGAGAAAUCUCCAGACUGACCUCCACAAUGGUUGCACCAGUCUACACUCCCAGCAAAAGUGCAGGAGAGUUCCUUUUUCCUCAUAAGACUGCUUAAAAUCUUUGCAAAGCAUCGUUUAUAAUCCAUUGUGUAGUUGGGAUGGUGGUGCAGAAUUAUCAUCCCAGAAUUUUAGGAGGCUGAGGGAGUAGGGUUGUAAAUUGAAAUCCAGUCCAGGCAGCAUAAGAAUUUAGUGAGAUCUUGUCUCAAAACAAAAAAGGAUUAGGGAUAUAGUUUAGUGUGUUGACCUUGGGUUUAUUGUCCAAUACUGAAAACAAUAUCUCCUGCAUGAUUCUAAAGCUUACUAUACCCUUAUUCUAUUAUAAACACUUAAUUUUUCAAAAAAUUAAAAUUAUGAUGCUAUUGACAUAAUAAAUCCUAUUAAUCUGAGUAUGAGUUUAUAAAAGAUAUCUGAGAUUUGAAAGCUUAGGGUGGCCUCUUCAUUCACUGGCACCUCUUGUGACGAAUGGUUUUCAUUGUUCACAAAGGCCAAGGUUAGCAUUACAUCUUGAAGCCUUAUAAUGGGGGACAGACUGACUUGUAGGAGAUGGCUUCAUGACCUUGGCCUCAGAAACAUUAGUGUGCUCCCAUAGAGUCAGAUAAGCUUGAAGUGGAAAAGUAAGAGAGAAGAAAAAAUGAAAACAGACAGUGUAAAUAGUAAAAUACUUAAGGGUUAAAGAAAAGAAUAGCUUUCUCUGUUUUGGGAGAAAUUACAGAAGUGAGAGUGUCUGAUCAUUUAGUAAUUAUGUUUUGCAUAAAAAUUUCAUACCAGUUUAGCCUUGGCAGUUUUAGAUCAGAUUAAUGUAUUGCUCACAACACAAACUUUUUACAAAAGUAGUAUAUCCAUUAAAUAAUUAUAUUAGAUCACUUUACUUAAUUUCUUUGUUUAUAUUUCCUCAUUAAGUUGGCUGUCAGUAACAAGAACAAAAAGUCUAGGAGAUACAGAGAAUGCUAAUAAAAGCAUAUAAAAGCUAAUAAAAGAGUUCAUUUAACUCUAUAUUUCAGGCACUUUUCUUUUUAUGCAUAAUGUCUGUAGUAUAAACAUCAUGUAUAGGUUGCAAUCACUCAAUAGUAAGUAAUUAUUUUGCUUAUUUGCUUAAA